AGACUGUUUGUAGGGUGUGAGCAUACAUGGAACAUUUAACAUGGACAUAGUUGCUUCACGUUAUCCAGAGGCUUCACUUAUUUCACUUGACGCUUGUCUACCUGUAGAAUGAACUCACUAUGAUGCCUACCUAUCCUUGCUUGUCGACUUGACCCAUCUGGGAAGGGGGAACCAUGUUGAAAAAUCACCUCCAACAGAUUGGCCUGCGGGCAUGUCUGUGGGACAUUUGACUGAUUGCCAAUUGAAGGACGAGGGCCUAGACCACUGAGCUGUAUGACAAAGUACACUGAGCCUAGACCACUGAGCUGUAUGACAAAGUACACUGAGCAGAAGCAGGAAGCAAGCCAGUUAAGCAGAUGUGCUUUGUGGUCCUGCUUCAGUUUCUGCCUCCAGGCUCCUGUCUUGGGUUCCUUCCUUGGCUUCCCUCGGUGAUGAACUGUAAAAUAAGCCCUUUCCUCCCCAAGUUGUUUUUGAUCUGAGAGUUUCAUCAUAGCAGCAGGACGGAGAGACAGGUGACAGUGAGCUCUAUAGAUGAAUCAGAAGUAACAGUACAUGGCAGUGACACACCACAUAAUUCUAGUAAUUGACCCCACUUAUCCUGGUGGCUUCUAAGAUUCUAGUGGAACUGAAAUGUUCUCUCUCUGGUUAUAUAAUGACUGUCCUACCAGGACACGUCACUCCUGUGUCUGAAGCGAUGCUGAUGCGAAGAGUGUAUACUGCUGUCCAGACCAAGGUGCUUGGAGUGGUAACCUCCUGGUUAGUAUGUUUUCUGUUCUAUAACUUGUAAUGGUUUGAAUAUGCUUGGCUCAUGGAAUGUACACUGUUAGAAGGUGACCUUGUUGGAGUAGAUGUGGCCUUGUUGGAGGAAGUGCAUGACUGUGGCGGUGAGCUUUGAAGCUCUGCCCAGUGUGUGAGAUUCAGUCUUCUCCUGACUGCCUUCAUAUCAAGAUGUAGGACUCUUGGCUCCUACAGCACCACAUCUGCCUGGACGCGGCCAUGCUUUCUGCUAUGAUGAUAAUGGGCUGAACCUCUGAACCUGUAAACCAGCCCCAAUUAAAUGUCCCUUAUAAGAGUUGCCUUGGUUAUGGUGUCUCUUCUCAGCAGUGGAAACCCUAACUAAGACAACCAUUGACUGUUAGAGUGUGACUUCUUCUACUUAUAAAAAGAAGUUCAGUGUGUCACAGUGCCGUGACAGACAGCCGCAGGCACACACUAAGCACGACACUGUUCAGAACUCAUGCUUGUAUUUUGGUGACCCUUUGCCAAGCUCAGCUUAGCACCCAGGGUCUCUCACAGCCUCUUUCUUGCGUUUUCAUAGUGAUGCGAUUCUGCUGUUCUUCAGAGUGCUCAAGUGAGCCUCUGCUUAUCCUGGAUUUGGCCUGUCUCCACAAGUGAGAUGGCGGGGUUGAGGGUGACCCAAGUUGACAUGGUACCUCUCAGAAGGAACAGUGUCCAGAGAUCAUCUGGGCAGCUCGGAUGGGACCUCCGAUGAUGGGAACUUUGCUACACUGAGAUCAUUCAUAAGCAGAAAAACAGGGUGGGCAGUGGUGUUGCACGCCUUUUAUCCCAGCACUGGGGAGGUAGAGGCUGGGGGUGGGGGUUGUCUCUGUGUGUUCAAAGGCAACCCAGUCUACAAAGCAAGUUCUAGAUUAAACAGAGCUACAUAGUGAGACUCUGUGAACCCCUCCCAAAAGAAAAAGAAAUAAAAGAAAAAGACAAUGACGACCAGAGAGUUGCCACUGUGAGGCACUACCAUUUGUGUGCCAGAUGGCCACUCUCCAGUCCUGGGCUGCCUCUGUUCCCACAGGGUUGGUGUGCACUUAGGGAUGUCAGGACUUCUGGGUUAAACCCUGCCCUGCCAUGGCUUGUGUGGAAUCAUGAGAGACUGAUGAAUGGAGGUGGGCCAUGUGAAUAAUUCAUAAUUUAGAGAC
rnacentral:lncRNA from 1 species